CCUACGGGGGGCAGCAGUGGGGAAUAUUGGACAAUGGGGGCAACCCUGAUCCAGCCAUGCCGCGUGUGUGAAGAAGGCCCUCGGGUUGUAAAGCACUUUCAGUGAGGAAGAACGCCUGGUGGUUAAUACCCAUCAGGAAAGACAUCACUCACAGAAGAAGCACCGGCUAACUCCGUGCCAGCAGCCGCGGUAAUACGGAGGGUGCGAGCGUUAAUCGGAAUUACUGGGCGUAAAGCGCGCGUAGGUGGCUUGAUAAGCCGGUUGUGAAAGCCCCGGGCUCAACCUGGGAACGGCAUCCGGAACUGUCAAGCUAGAGUGCAGGAGAGGAAGGUAGAAUUCCCGGUGUAGCGGUGAAAUGCGUAGAGAUCGGGAGGAAUACCAGUGGCGAAGGCGGCCUUCUGGACUGACACUGACACUGAGGUGCGAAAGCGUGGGUAGCAAACAGGAUUAGAUACCAGAGUAGUC
rnacentral:rRNA from 1 species